AUCCAUCUGACGAGUCCCAAAUAGGACGAAGUGAAUGUCCUGGAU
rnacentral:hammerhead_ribozyme from 1 species